CCAUGGGCUUGGAUUUAUGGCAGGCCUUUGCCCCUGACCUCUCAUAGUGUCCCAUGCGAGAGCCCCGAACCAUUGCCUGGCCUUGUCCGUAAGCCUUAGCACUGAAGUGGAUUGCACAGUG
rnacentral:snoRNA from 1 species